rnacentral:rRNA from 1 species
UGGGGAAUAUUGCACAAUGGGCGCAAGCCUGAUGCAGCCAUGCCGCGUGUAUGAAGAAGGCCUUCGGGUUGUAAAGUACUUUCAGCGGGGAGGAAGGCGAUAAGGUUAAUAACCAUGUCGAUUGACGUUACCCGCAGAAGAAGCACCGGCUAACUCCGUGCCAGCAGCCGCGGGAAUACGGAGGGUGCAAGCGGUAAUCGGAAUUACUGGGCGUAAAGCGCACGCAGGCGGUCUGUCAAGUCGGAUGUGAAAUCCCCGGGCUCAACCUGGGAACUGCAUUCGAAACUGGCAGGCUAGAGUCUUGUAGAGGGGGGUAGAAUUCCAGGUGUAGCGGUGAAAUGCGUAGAGAUCUGGAGGAAUACCGGUGGCGAAGGCGGCCCCCUGGACAAAGACUGACGCUCAGGUGCGAAAGCGUGGGGAGCAAACA